ACAUCCAGAGAACUUAGCAGAGAUGCUUUGGUGCCUUCCGGGAACUCUGAGACAGGUGCUGCAUGGCUGUCGUCAGCUCGUGUUGUGAAAUGUUGGGUUAAGUCCGCAACGAGCGCAACCCUUAUCCUUUGUUGCCAGCGGUUCGGCCGGGAACUCAAAGGAGACUGCCAGUGAUAAACUGGAGGAAGGUGGGGAUGACGUCAAGUCAUCAUGGCCCUUACGAGUAGGGCUACACACGUGCUACAAUGGCGUAUACAAAGAGAAGCGACCUCGCGAGAGCAAGCGGACCUCAUAAAGUACGUCGUAGUCCGGAUUGGAGUCUGCAACUCGACUCCAUGAAGUCGGAAUCGCUAGUAAUCGUGGAUCAGAAUGCUACGGUGAAUACGUUCCCGGGCCUUGUACACACCGCCCGUCACACCAUGGGAGUGGGUUGCAAAAGAAGUAGGUAGCUUAACCUUCGGGAGGGCGCUUACCACUUUGUGAUUCAUGACUGGGGUGAAGUCGUAACAAGGUAAGCGUACGUGU
rnacentral:rRNA from 1 species